ensembl:lncRNA
CAGAGGAUAAGAGAGGAGAAACGAGAGGAGAGGAGGAGACGAGAGCUCGAGAAAAAACGACAGAGGGAGGAGGAGAAGCGCAAGAGAAGAGAGGAGGAGCGACGCAAACGCAGGGAGGCGGACAAGCAGAAGAAGUUGUCUGAGAAGGAAGUCAAAAUAAAGGUGACACCUUGAACUCUUCAUCUUUUAAUUUUAUUUACAACAAAAAAAGAACGUUCAACAUUUUGCUUUCAUGUAUCCUGCUUCAGCUCCUGAAGAAAAGUGACAUGGAUGACGAUGUGGACUCGGACCGUCUGAAGGACAAAGGCGAAGUCGCCGAGACCGACAGGAGCAAAUGGGAGAAACCGGUUGGACAGAUGAAGUCAGUGGAACCGAAGGAAAGGUUAGGAUGGUGGUCCAAAUACUGGACUCUAUCUCACAACCUCUGCUGCUAGGAUAUAGGAGGGUUGCGCUGAGAAAGAUGUGAUUAGGGGUCAGCCGAUUCAGUCCCAUUAUCAAAUUAAUCAUUCAAAUAUCCUGAUUCGUUUGACUAAUUUGUACAUUUGUGCUGCAUGCCUCAUCUCUGGCCACCAGGGUUCAGCCGGAGAGCGACAAAGAGCAGAGAGACUUACUGCAGCAACAGCACGGCCGCAGGCAGAGAGACAAGGAGCACCGGGCCAAAGACGAGGAGCGUAAGCGCCAGCGGCACCACUACGACUUUGACAAGUUCAUGCGCGGAAAGACGAAACCAAGUGGGGCAAGGGCUACUGCCAGGACCGGGCCAAGAAGGAGGGCCACCACCACGGCUUCUCCUAUUGCCCAGACGGAGGGGACAAGCUGGGCAAGGAGGACAGGGAAGACCCGGCCAGCAGGAAGGAGCGCCUUCGUAACAAGGUGAGCGAGAAGGUGAGCAUGAGCUGGAGGGGGGGCGGAGCAUAUUUCAAUGUCUUGUUCUUGUUGUUCUUCUACUUAUUGAUCUCCUUUAGGGUGAAUACCAGGAGGAGGCCAUGCAACCCCCUUUUUCCCCUAUUAUUUACUGAUAUUUUUUUAUCGAUAUAGAAUUUGAAAUUGAAAUUGCAGUAGAUCUUGAAUAUUGCUAUGUAGAAACGUGCAGCCAGGUCAACUUUUGUUAUUCUUUCUGCUAAAAAAUAAUCUUUUUUCCUAUUUGCAUAGCCUUUAUUGUUUCUAACUCUAGUAGUGUUGAUACAGCUGUUAGGCCCAACAAAAGCUAACUUUGACCCAUUGUGAAGUACCAUUUACUGAACUGUCUUUCUUUUUAGAAUCAUACUGGUGAUCGGAUGCUGACCUCUCCUCAACUAAUGAUUGUCCUGUGACUCUGUGAGCAAGGCAUGAAGGCAACCGUCUGCACCCAUUGCCUUCGUGCCUUGGUCUCUUUCUGUACUGGAUUGACUUCUGCAUUUAAACAUUGCGAAAAUGUUCACCUCACCUCUCUACUCAUGUGAAAACAAAUCUAUGCACAACAAUAAAGGCCACUUCCUGCCAUUAGUUGCCCCAUUCAAAACCUGGAAUGGUUUAUAGCAUAUCCCCAUUUAGACUGCUUCAUUCAGUUUCAAAGCCUAACACAUUCACUGGCAGCUUUAUUAACAUUCUCCUUAUUAUUAUAAAAGAUCAUUCAUAAUGGUAAUACUAAUAAAAAUCAUAAUACGAAUAAUCUCAAACAUCUUAAUGAUCUCUUCUCUGCUAUGAGCUGGUGGAUGACUGAUUCUUACUCUCUCUCUCUCUCUCUCUCUCUCUCUCUGCUUCCUCUUUAGGACCGACCAGCCAUGCAGCUCUACCAGCCUGGCGCACGCAACCGCAAACGCAUGAGUUCAACAGGCAAAGGUUACGACUGCGCCCCUGCGAGACGCUCGCCCGAACCGGGGUCGGAGCACUGCUAUGAGGCGGUCGCCAUGGGAACGGGGACAGAGAAGAGUAGGGAUGAGUAGACGAGCGGCAAUUCGUUCAGGGGGAGUGGACUGGGGUGUUCAUCUUCAGCUUGGAGUGAAUGGUUUUAAAAUCAAGUAAAACCCUUAUCCCAAGCGACUAUAAGCCCAUGUACUGUGCUAUACUUUAACAUGGAUAAAACUUAACCGCUUCAGAGCUAAUACCCAUCAAUGGACAUUAAAACUCUAAAUGGGCAAACAGAGCAGUGGUUCAUUCUGUUGAUUUUCUCUGGAAAUAGUUGCGGUUGUGUGGAGAAAAAACACUUUAUAAGAAUGCUCGCAUCUGUAAAAUAUUCAUGCUAAUAAAGAUAAUUAUAACGGAAAUCGUGUCAGACCGUAGAUGCUAUCUGUUAACGCAGCCUUUUCGAGGUCUAUUUAUCAAAGCGUGUUAUUUCCAUUGGUGAAUUAAGUGAGGUCGUUAACUGUUAUUUGUGUCCACAUUUGCCUGAAGAAGAGUAACGACUGGAAGAGUGAUUUCAAGUUGUGAGUUUUUUAAUCGAUUUUUGGUUUUUAGCUCUUCAUCGAUUUAUCAGAAAGACCUAAAAUCUCACUUUGUAUUCAUAGGAAAUAUGUAACUAAAUAUGUCUAUUUAUCAAAGCGUGUUAUUUCCAUUGGUGAAUUAAGUGAGGUCGUUAACUGUUAUUUGUGUCCACAUUUGCCUGAAGAAGAGUAACGACUGGAAGAGUGAUUUCAAGUUGUGAGUUUUUUAAUCGAUUUUUGGUUUUAGCUCUUCAUCGAUUUAUCAGAAAGACCUAAAAUCUCACUUUGUAUUCAUAGGAAAUAUGUAACUAAAUAUGUCUAAUUAUAUCAUAAAUUACUCCCGAUGGGUCAGUGUGUGUAUGUUUGUUUGUUUGUGCCUGUGUGUGUGUAUGUUUGAGUCUGCCUUUGUGUGUGUGUGUGUGUGUGUGUGUGUGUGUGUGUGUGUGUGUGUGUGUGUGUGUGUGUGUGUGUGUGUGUGUGUGUGUGUGUGUGUGUGUGUGUGUGUGUGUGUGUGUGUGUGUGUGUGUGUGUGUGUGUGUGUGUGUGUGUGUGUGUGUGUGUCUCUGAACACGUGCUUGUGUGUGUUCAUAUGUGGUGUGUGUGUGUGUGUUUGCACGCAGACCGGUGUUUGUUACCAUAUGUGUGAAAGAGUAUGCGAGACAGUACAGGGCUGCUGGGAUUCUUCACAAUGACUUCCUUCCGCAAAAAUCAUCACUUUUGCUCUUCAAUAUCUGUUUUGUGCCCGCACUGCACCCUGCACUGCAGGGGAAAGUAUUUUCUGUGAUGGAUUUAUAUUUGUGGUACACGACAACGUCCAUGUGAAGGAAAUAAAGUGACCCCUAAACUUAGAUUUGUAAAUAAAAUCAAUAGUAAUGAUAAUUUACGUAAAUAAGACUAUUUUGGCGAUAGUCUAUUAAAAUAUUUUUUUAUUUUCUAUCGAGUGUUGAACAUUACAGAGAGCCUAUUCAAACCAAAAUAUACUAAAGUGGGUAUUUGAUUAUUUUAGAGUUAGAUCAUUUAUGCACACAACAUGUCUUACAUUUAUGUAUCAUGCCUUUAUGUCAUUUCCAAUAAGAAUAAAUGGUUUUAAGCAUU